GGUUAAGCGACUAAGCGUACACGGUGGAUGCCCUGGCAGUCAGAGGCGAUGAAGGACGUGCUAAUCUGCGAUAAGCGUCGGUAAGGUGAUAUGAACCGUUAUAACCGGCGAUUUCCGAAUGGGGAAACCCAGUGUGAUUCGUCACACUAUCAUUAACUGAAUCCAUAGGUUAAUGAGGCGAACCGGGGGAACUGAAACAUCUAAGUACCCCGAGGAAAAGAAAUCAACCGAGAUUCCCCCAGUAGCGGCGAGCGAACGGGGAGGAGCCCAGAGCCUGAAUCAGUGUGUGUGUUAGUGGAAGCGUCUGGAAAGGCGCGCGAUACAGGGUGACAGCCCCGUACACAAAAAUGCACAUAUUGUGAGCUCGAUGAGUAGGGCGGGACACGUGGUAUCCUGUCUGAAUAUGGGGGGACCAUCCUCCAAGGCUAAAUACUCCUGACUGACCGAUAGUGAACCAGUACCGUGAGGGAAAGGCGAAAAGAACCCCGGCGAGGGGUGAAAAAGAACCUGAAACCGUGUACGUACAAGCUGGGAGCACGCGGCGUGUGACUGCGUACCUUUUGUAUAAUGGGUCAGCGACUUAUAUUCUGUAGCAAGGUUAACCGAAUAGGGGAGCCGAAGGGAAACCGAGUCUUAACUGGGCGUUAAGUUGCAGGGUAUAGACCCGAAACCCGGUGAUCUAGCCAUGGCAGGUUGAAGGUUGGGUAACACUAACUGGAGGACCGAACCGACUAAUGUUGAAAAAUUAGCGGAUGACUUGUGGCUGGGGGUGAAAGGCCAAUCAAACCGGGAGAUAGCUGGUUCUCCCCGAAAGCUAUUUAGGUAGCGCCUCGUGAAUUCAUCUCCGGGGUAGAGCACUGUUUCGGCAAGGGGUCAUCCCGACUUACCAACCCGAUGCAAACUGCGAAUACCGGAGAAUGUUAUCACGGGAGACACACGGCGGUGCUAACGUCCGUCGUGAAGAGGGAAACAACCCAGACCGCCAGCUAAGGUCCCAAAGUCAUGGUUAAGUGGGAAACGAUGUGGGAAGGCCCAGACAGCCAGGAUGUUGGCUUAGAAGCAGCCAUCAUUUAAAGAAAGCGUAAUAGCUCACUGGUCGAGUCGGCCUGCGCGGAAGAUGUAACGGGGCUAAACCAUGCACCGAAGCUGCGGCAGCGACGCUGAUGCGUUGUUGGGUAGGGGAGCGUUCUGUAAGCCUGCGAAGGUGUGCUGUGAGGCAUGCUGGAGGUAUCAGAAGUGCGAAUGCUGACAUAAGUAACGAUAAAGCGGUGAAAAGCCCGCUCGCCGGAAGACCAAGGGUUCCUGUCCAACGUUAAUCGGGGCAGGGUGAGUCGACCCCAAGGCGAGGCCGAAAGGCGUAGUCGAUGGGAAACAGGUUAAUAUUCCUGUACUUGGUGUUACUGCGAAGGGGGACGGAGAAGGCUAUGUUGGCCGGGCGACGGUUGUCCCGGUUUAAGCGUGUAGGCUGGUUUUCCAGGCAAAUCCGGAAAAUCAAGGCUGAGGCGUGAUGACGAGGCACUACGGUGCUGAAGCAACAAAUGCCCUGCUUCCAGGAAAAGCCUCUAAGCAUCAGGUAACAUCAAAUCGUACCCCAAACCGACACAGGUGGUCUAGAGAAUACCAAGGCGCUUGAGAGAACUCGGGUGAAGGAACUAGGCAAAAUGGUGCCGUAACUUCGGGAGAAGGCACGCUGAUAUGUAGGUGAGGUCCCUCGCGGAUGGAGCUGAAAUCAGUCGAAGAUACCAGCUGGCUGCAACUGUUUAUUAAAAACACAGCACUGUGCAAACACGAAAGUGGACGUAUACGUGUGACGCCUGCCCGGUGCCGGAAGGUUAAUUGAUGGGGUUAGCGCAAGCGAAGCUCUUGAUCGAAGCCCCGGUAAACGGCGGCCGUAACUAUAACGGUCCUAAGGUAGCGAAAUUCCUUGUCGGGUAAGUUCCGACCUGCACGAAUGGCGUAAUGAUGGCCAGGCUGUCUCCACCCGAGACUCAGUGAAAUUGAACUCGCUGUGAAGAUGCAGUGUACCCGCGGCAAGACGGAAAGACCCCGUGAACCUUUACUAUAGCUUGACACUGAACAUUGAGCCUUGAUGUGUAGGAUAGGUGGGAGGCUUUGAAGUGUGGACGCCAGUCUGCAUGGAGCCGACCUUGAAAUACCACCCUUUAAUGUUGAUGUUCUAACGUUGACCCGUAAUCCGGGUUGCGGACAGUGUCUGGUGGGUAGUUUGACUGGGGCGUCUCCUCCUAAAGAGUAACGGAGGAGCACGAAGGUUGGCUAAUCCUGGUCGGACAUCAGGAGGUUAGUGCAAUGGCAUAAGCCAGCUUGACUGCGAGCGUGACGGCGCGAGCAGUGCGAAAGCAGGUCAUAGUGAUCCGGUGGUUCUGAAUGGAAGGGCCAUCGCUCAACGGAUAAAAGGUACUCCGGGGAUAACAGGCUGAUACCGCCCAAGAUUCAUAUCGACGGCGGUGUUUGGCACCUCGAUGUCGGCUCAUCACAUCCUGGGCUGAAGUAGGUCCCAAGGGUAUGGCUGGCCAUUAAAGUGGUACGCGAGCUGGGUUUAGAACGUCGUGAGACAGUUCGGUCCCUAUCUGCCGUGGCGCUGGAGAACUGAGGGGGGCUGCUCCUAGUACGAGAGGACCGAGUGGACGCAUCACUGGUGUUCGGGUUGUCAUGCCAAUGGCACUGCCCGGUAGCUAAAUGCGGAAGAGAUAAUGCUGAAAGCAUCUAAGCACGAAACUUCCCCGAGAUGAGUUCUCCCUGACUCCUUGAGAGUCCUGAAGGAACGUUGAAGACGACGACGUUGAUAGGCCGGGUGUGUAAGCGCAGCGAUGCGUUGAGCUAACCGUACUAAUGAACCGUGAGGCUUAACCUU
rnacentral:rRNA from 1 species